GAUGAACGCUGGCGGCAUGCCUAACACAUGCAAGUCGAUCGGUAAGGCUCUUCGGAGUCCUCGAGAGGCGGACGGCCGGGUAACGCGUAGGUACACACCCUGCAGUGAGGGAUAAGAAACCGACAGGAGUUCUAAUUCCGCCUACGGUCUUCGGGUUAAAGCAAUUAUGCGCUGAAGGAGUAGCCUGCGUCAUAUUAGAUAGUUGGUGAGGUAAUGGCUCACCAAGUCGAUGAUGUGUAGCUGGUCAGAGAGGAUGAUCAGCCAGUCUGGAACUGAGACACGGUCCAGACUCCUACGGGAGGCAGCAGUGAGUAAUACAUCACAAUCGGGGGAAGCUUGAAGGACCUAUGCCGCGAGAAGGAUGAAGGCCGUCGGGUUGUAAACUGCUUUUAUAAGAGAAGAUUAUGACGGUACCUUAUGAAUAAGGGACGGCUAACUACGUG
rnacentral:rRNA from 1 species